rnacentral:rRNA from 1 species
AUUGAACGCUGGCGGCAGGCCUAACACAUGCAAGUCGAGCGGUAACAGGAAAUAGCUUGCUAUUUUGCUGACGAGCGGCGGACGGGUGAGUAACGCGUAGGAAUUUGCCCAGUAGUGGGGGAUAGCCCGGAGAAAUUCGGAUUAAUACCGCAUACGCCCUAAGGGGGAAAGCAGGGGAUCUUCGGACCUUGCGCUAUUGGAUAAGCCUGCGUGAGAUUAGCUAGUUGGUGAGGUAAGGGCUCACCAAGGCGACGAUCUCUAGCUGGUCUGAGAGGAUGAUCAGCCACACUGGAACUGAGACACGGUCCAGACUCCUACGGGAGGCAGCAGUGGGGAAUAUUGCACAAUGGGCGAAAGCCUGAUGCAGCCAUGCCGCGUGUGUGAAGAAGGCUCUAGGGUUGUAAAGCACUUUAAGCGAGGAGGAAGGUUUUAGUUAAUACACUAAAGAAUUGACGCUACUCGCAGAAUAAGCACCGGCU